AAAUAGAUAGCUUAAACUUAAAGCAUAACACUGAAGAUGUUAGUAUAGAUUAAUUUCUUCUGUUUG
rnacentral:tRNA from 1 species